rnacentral:rRNA from 1 species
GUCCCACUGAGGAAGAGCUGCGUGUACAAGAUCUGAAGAUCAAACACGACUCCGUGAGAGUUCAUGUGUUGAGGUAGGCGAAGAGGGGAAGAAAGAGGGAGGCCACCUAGAGGUCGGUGGGUUCCGGGCCCGGUACCUACCUCUACCGCCUUCCCCUUUGCGACCAGCCUCCGCACCCGCCCUCUGCGUCUCGCUUCCGGGCCGGGCUUCCAGCGCCGUCCUCAAGCAGCAGCUCCCGGACUCCGCCUCGCGUGCCCCAGCCGUCCGCGUCGCGGCCGCUCAACCACCUCAUUCCUAACACGUCGCCGCUCCUCCGCGGCCGACGAAGGCGAAGGCGCUGUGCUUCCGCUGCUACGCGCUCAGGGCCGGAGCGGUUAAGCGGUCCAUCUGUGUAAGUCUAAAAUCUUUAUAAUAAGUUCACGAACAAGAACGAUCACUGUGACUCCUUAUACCUCACCGUACGUGCUGGUGUUUACCAUAAAGUUCGUCAAAAAAGUACAAUACCAGAGGGUGGGUUCAUUGUUUUAACCCUUUUGGGAUCAGCAUUAGGGUUUAUCUAUAACGUAAGAACUAACCGUUGUCUUGUCGUAGGGGUUUGGUAAGACUUUAAGAACAGAAGUGGAAAAAGGAAAUCAAAUAAACCACGCUACGACGAUUCCACAAGGCGUUGAUUGACAUUAACAAUUUCUGUGUCAAGAUAAGAAGGAACUCAAUAAGGUAUGGAAUUAUUAGAGUCCAAACGGUAAACCUGGAAAGAUACUUUGGGGAAGAGAUUGUCCACGUACGUGGUAAUAAAGUAGCUAUUAGUAAAAGUAAAACGUUGUUACAAAUGUGGUUUACCACGACGUCUACCUAUUUCACUAUAGUGUACGAGUGCGAUGGGAUCCUUGUGAAUACAGUGUUGUUAGUUAUUAACCACCGUAAUGAUACUUCUAUUCGUUGUAAUCGUCUAAUUAGUAUACUAACACUGUAGCUGUUUUGUUUUUACGGUUGUGCUACUAGUAACCAGUCAUUAACAACUAUGGUUAACUAGGGUUGAGUUUCACGGAUAGUCUACUGGUAAGGAGUCGGUGGUCUGUUCAAGACAAACGAGGACCAAAAUAUACAGACGUUUUGCCGUAUACGCCGUUAGCCCUUGGGAUGGUUCAGUUAACAUGCGUUGUUCCGACACAAUGACGGACGUUUUUUCGCCCGACGCCUCCACCCUAAACGGUAUUUCUACCAUCAACGUUGACGGAGAUCUACUCCGACGGUUCAGGAGAGAUUAAACAUCAUUCUUUUGCUAGGUCUUAUUCGAAUCCUUUUAUUCUCGUAAUACUCAAAAGAAGUCAAGGACCUUAUUCACUUUAUAUACGACUAAGAAAUAAAAAGUGCACGAGAAUGCUCUUGAGGAUAGUACGUACUGCAAAUAAUUACCUUACAGCC